rnacentral:rRNA from 1 species
UACGUAGGGUGCGAGCGUUAAUCGGAAUUACUGGGCGUAAAGCGUGCGCAGGCGGUUUUGUAAGCCAGAUGUGAAAUCCCCGGGCUUAACCUGGGAAUGGCAUUUGGGACUGCAAGGCUGGAGUGUGGCAGAGGAGACUGGAAUUCCCGGUGUAGCAGUGAAAUGCGUAGAUAUCGGGAGGAAUACCGAUGGCGAAGGCAGGUCUCUGGGCUGACACCGACGCUCAUGCACGAAAGCGUGGGGAGCAAACAGG